UGAUGCAUAGGAGGAAAUUCCACAUAUUAUCUAACUGUGCCCCUAACUGUUCACAAACAAACUGAGACACCUCACUAACCAAUUCCCCUGAAUUUACAUC